CCCCUUUCCGCCCCGCCUCCCUCCUAGGUGAAGGAAGAUGAUUUCCCCCCCAUCUUGAUCACCCCCCAGUCUUCGCCGCCAAAAACGGACUCCGCCGGCUCUCCUCGGCCCGGUGCCAGUUGUUGGAUCCAAGAGAAUUCCGGAACCCAAACGGCUCGCUCAAAGCACUUUAUUGGCAGUGAAACCGCAAGUAACCCGGAGCCCUCGGCGCGACCACGGCUAGAAUCAGAGCCUAAGGCGUGUGAGCUCGGCCAUCCCACGUCUGUCUUCACGCUCACCCGCAAGUCCGACACACCGGGGCGCCCAGUUAAUGAAUACUGAAGAGUAGGGCUGUCCCUACCGCUUCUCACUUCCUUGUUUUCAUCUUUUCGUUAUUAUUAAGCGACCUAAC
rnacentral:lncRNA from 1 species